rnacentral:rRNA from 1 species
UACGGGGGGGGCAAGCGUUGUUCGGAAUUACUGGGCGUAAAGGGCUCGUAGGCGGCCAACUAAGUCAGACGUGAAAUCCCUAGGCUCAACCUAGGAACUGCGUCUGAUACUGGAUGGCUUGAAUCCGGGAGAGGGAUGCAGAAUUCCAGGUGUAGCGGUGAAAUGCGUAGAUAUCUGGAGGAAUACCGGUGGCGAAGGCGGCAUCCUGGACCGGCAUUGACGCUGAGGCGCGAAAGCGUGGGGAGCAAACAGG